UACGUAGGUGGCAAGCGUUGUCCGGAAUUACUGGGUGUAAAGGGAGCGCAGGCGGGACUGCAAGUUGGAUGUGAAAUACCGAGGCUCAACCUCGGAGCUGCAUCCAAAACUGUAGUUCUUGAGUGAAGUAGAGGUAGGCGGAAUUCCGAGUGUAGCGGUGAAAUGCGUAGAUAUUCGGAGGAACACCAGUGGCGAAGGCGGCCUACUGGGCUUUAACUGACGCUGAGGCUCGAAAGUGUG
rnacentral:rRNA from 1 species